CUCUGCAAGAACUAGUUUAGAUAUGAGGGUCCAGGUUCAGGUCCUGGGGCUCCUUUUGCUCUGUAUAGUAGGUGCCCAGUGUGAUGUCCAGAUAACCCAGUCUCCAUCUUAUCUUGCUGCAUCUCCUGGAGAAAGUGUUUCCAUUACUUGCAGGGCAAGUAAGAGCAUUAACAAAUAUUUAGCCUGGUAUCAACAGAAACCCGGGAAAGCUAAUAAGCUUCUUAUCUACUCUGGAUCCACUUUGCAAUCUGGAAUCCCAUCAAGAUUUAGUGGCAGUGGAUCUGGUACAGAUUUCACUCUCACCAUCAGGAGCCUGGAGCCUGACGAUUUUGCAACGUAUUACUGUCAACAGCAUAAUGAACUCCCAUACCACAGUGAUACAAGUCAUAACAAAAACCACAAGGGAAGCAGAAAACAGAUGGAACAAAUUUUCAAACAUUUCAGUGGCACUUUUCCAGGAAAUAUUUGCCCUCAUGAAGAGAAGUGUGGAGAUAACAAAUAAAAUCCUAGGAUAUGAUAAACUUAAUCAGGCUACAGUAGUUGUAUAG